CUCGAGCACUUUGGUCAACAACGCGCCAUUUAUUAAAGUCAACGCGCCACUCUCUUUUCUCCACCAAACUCCCCAUUUCUUCAACCAACAAUGUCUCAAGUAAUCUAUCCCCCCACCACCACAACCACCGCCGGACCACCGCCAAAACUCUACUUCUGUUACCAGUGCAACCACACCGUCUCAAUCACACCGUCACCCCAACUCUUUUGCCCCGAUUGCAAUGGCGGUUUCCUUGAAGAAUUCGAACCACCAAACCCUAACCCUAACCCCUUUCUCGCCUUCGAAGAUCCCGAUUUAUCCGCUUUAUUCGGAGGAUCAGAAUCAUUCCAAAACCCUAAUUCUGGUGAGUUUAAUCCUUUUGCAUUUCUUCAAAACUAUUUAGCUACUUUACGUGCUGGCGGUGCCGAUAUUCAGUUUGUUAUUGAAAAUGCUAAUAAUGAUAAUGAAAAUGAUAAUGAUGGUGAUAGUGAUAAUGAUAGUGGGUCCGGGUUUCGAGUUCGGUCGAAUUUAGGGGAUUAUUUUGUUGGACCAGGGUUAGAACAAUUGAUUCAACAGUUAGCGGAAAAUGAUCCGAAUAGGUACGGGACACCGCCUGCUUCGAAAGAAGUGGUUUCCGGUUUACCUAAUGUUGAGAUUAGUAAGGAGUUGUUGGAAUCCGAUUGUGCUGAUUGUGCUGUUUGUAAAGAGAGUUUUGAGUUAAGUGAAGUAGCGAAACAGUUGCCGUGUAAACAUGUUUAUCAUAAUGAGUGUAUUUUGCCGUGGUUGGAGUUGCAUAAUUCUUGUCCCGUUUGUCGGUUUGAGUUGCCUACUGAUGAUGUGGAAUACGAGAAUAGGGAUCGGGAAGUUGGUGGUGGUGGGAGGAGGAAUGUGGUGGGGUCUGGUAGUAGUGAUGAGUCUCGGGGGAAUUCUGAUAGCCCGGGUAGUAUGGAGAGGAGCUUUGGUAUAAAUUUUCCUUGGCUUUUUAGUGGGUUUGGUGCGUCAGCUGAGACGAGCAAUAGUGGAGCAGGGGAUAAUGGUGACAAUAACUCAGUGAAUUCAAACUCGGGAAGUGGUGGUCAAGGUAGACAAGAUGGUCUUGGCUAAAGACAGUUGCAUUUGACCUGAAGUCCAAGCAUAGAGGAGCUCGUUAUGACACAUUGAUAGGUUAUUGGGUCUGAGUUAUACUUCAUUCUAAUUGAAGAAUAAGGAGAUACCAGUCGUGUAUUAUGUUGGACAUACAACGAAUCUUCUUAUGGUUUGUAGAUUAGAGAUAGAUUUACCUUGGUGUUAUAUCAAUGAUACACUAUACCCGCUUGUCUUUUUAUAGAUCUCAUUUUAUUAUUACAUUUCAUCUUUUGUAUAAAACCAUCUGGUUUAAUCAUUUCUUCA